rnacentral:RNase_P_RNA from 2 species
GAGGAACUUCCGGGCUCCAUAGAGCACGAUGGCGGAUAACGUCCGCCCAGGGUGACCUGAGAGAUAGCGCAACAGAGAACAGACCGCCCGUCCUCGACGGGUAAGGGUGAAACGGCGGUGUAAGAGACCACCGGGCCUCUGGUAACAGUAGGUCGCAUGGCAAGCCUCAUCGGGAGCAAGGCCAAGCAGAUGGCGGUAAGGGCUGCUCGCCCGUGUCAUCGGGUAGGCUGCUAGAGCCUGGCGGCAACGUCAGGUCGAGAUGGAUGGCCAUCCGUGCCGUGCGUUCGCGCACGGCACGACAGAACCCGGGGUA